CUCAGAAAACAAGAGAAAACGAUUGGAAUGUGCAACCGUCCCCAAAAGUAAGAUUGUAGUUUCAAAAGAAAAAAAAGCAGAAAAUAAUGUAUUAAGUUUUACAAAAAGGAAAAAAAAGGGGGUUACCCCAACCUUGGUAUAAUAUUCCGAGUCAAGGUAUAUCAGUGCAUGUUCAUAGACCUCCGUUGUAGUAGAACAUAAAAAAAAUAAAGCAUCCAAGC
rnacentral:lncRNA from 1 species